ensembl:snRNA U6 U6 spliceosomal RNA
CUGCUUGCUUUAGAAGCACAUAUGCUAAAAAGGGAACAAUUUAGAGAAGAUUAGCAUGUCCCCAAAUAAGGAUGACAUGCAAAUUUGUGAAGCAUUCCAUAUAAAU